rnacentral:rRNA from 1 species
UACGAAGGGGGCUAGCGUUGUUCGGAUUUACUGGGCGUAAAGCGCACGUAGGCGGAUCUUUAAGUCAGAGGUGAAAUCCCGGAGCUCAACUUCGGAACUGCCUUUGAUACUGGGGAUCUCGAGUUCGGGAGAGGUGAGUGGAACUGCGAGUGUAGAGGUGAAAUUCGUAGAUAUUCGCAAGAACACCAGCGGCGAAGGCGGCUCACUGGCCCGAUACUGACGCUGAGGCGCGAAAGCGUGGGGAGCAAACAGGAUGAGAUACCCUGGUAGUCCACGCCGUAAACGAUGGAUGCUAGCCGUUAGGCAGCUUGCUGCUUAGUGGCGCAGCUAACGCUUUAAGCAUCCCGCCUGGGGAGUACGGUCGCAAGAUUAAA